UUGAGCUCCUUGCCCCAGCUUGUUUCAAGAACGGUAAAAGGCCAUCGAUACAGCUCACUGAACCGAAGUCCAAAAGUAAGCCUCAGAUAAUUACAUAGACCAACCAGACCUGUAAGAAAAGCAGCACCGUGAACUAAUUUGUCUGCAAAAGCUGCCAAUGGAAGGAUGACCGAGAAAAACAUUGCCAUAAUGCAAUCAACAACAAGGAUAUUUAGGCAAUCCAUAUCAAGUAGAUACGCAGUGUGAGCAAAUGCUAAAAAAAACCAUAGCUU